CUGGCCCUCAGUAGCUCUGUGACCAUGUGCGACCGAGCGUAAAGGCCUGCGUGCACCCGGGCACGAGGCGUUAGGGAGGCGUGGGGCUGACGUGCGUGAGAGCACAAGCUUCCUUGGAGCUGACUCCAGGGGCAGGGGGCAGCAUCAUGUGACAGAGCCCUGCUCUCCCCUGGUUCUGGAGAGGAACCAGUGAGGCCCUGGAGGAGUUCUCUAGCUGUGGAAGUAGACUUUCCCUAAAAUCAAAGCUGAGGCAGAGAUCAGCUGUGUGGCUAGAGUGAGCCUGCUUCUAGCCUCGCUUGCUGCUUCCCAGUUAUCUGAGACGAGUACUGUCAUGUGACUGGUGUUCAACACGCCACCAGUGGGUGCUAGGUGACUGUCAGCAUGAAGGCAGGCGGCCAGUCCACUGGGCUCCUUCUCCUGCAUUCUACUGAACAUGUGGACCGCUGGACACGUGGACCAAGCCCUUGGGGGUUUCAGUCCCCCUGGAAGAACGGACUCUGCAGCGUAAUGCCGGCUGGGGCUUGAAUUUAUCUACAUACAAGUGAAGAGCUCUACCCUGUCCAAAGGGAGGCCUGGCCUUUGCCCCCAGCUUCCAGAAAGUGCUGCCCAAGGGGAGGAUUUUCAUUUAGGGAGAGAGUUGGCCACACAGGAUGAAUCAACAAUAUGGUUAUGGGCUUUGACCCAAGCAUAAGCAUCUGGACCUUGGAAGGUCUGAAGGACUGGUACUGGCUUCACAGGCAGCGAGUAGGAAACCCCAAUCCACACUCUAGGUAGCAAGGCAGGGGACGAUGCUCUGUGUGAGUUGGCACAUGGUAGAGUGGUGGGUGCCAGCUGGGACUCCAUCUGCAGAGGACAGUAGACAGCUCCGUGGGGAUCCUCCUGGCUGCACCCACCCUACUCUUCCCUGGCUGGGUUUUUCCUGUGACUGUGAGGGUGGCAGAGGUCCCAAUGAGUUCUUAAAUAUGAGGGUGGCUUUGGGGAUCCCUAGCUUUGCAAUUGGAGGUGUGGGUGUGGCCUGAUAGACUAUUUCCUAUUUUAACAGCACUGUAUUACCUCCAUUAUGGCAGCUCCCUGCUGCCAUACCUCCAUGCAUAUCACACGCACACAUGCAAGAACACAUGAGUGCACACACACACACACACACACACACACACACACACACACACACACUGACCGAGAUGUCAGACCAGGCACUGCGUUGCCUGCAAGGUCUGGACCCCUCAGGCAUCUCCAAUAGAGGAGUUCAUUGUUGCCCAGCGGCCUCUCCUACAAUGCCUCACCCUCUGUCCCUCCGGGGACAGGACUUUCUUCCUGAUCUUAGCAAUGACAAGUAGGCAGGUAAUAAAUCAGCGGCCAAGGGGGUCGGCUUCUGGGCACUCUGGAGGAAGGAGGCAGGAGACUGACCUUCAGGGCUUGCUGUGGCAUGCUCUAACUUCUUCCCCCCCCAAGUCCACAGGUCUAUCCUCUGUCUAAAGCCACCAUUUCCCAGAUGCAGGGCACACGUUGUGGAGCCCUGGACACAGCCCUUCUUGCCAGAGCCACCAGCCUCGGAUGCCUUUCCAGGAUCAAAAGUUUCAGGUUCAAGUCUAAACUUAGCAGCUCUGCCGCCUGGGGUCAGAAAACAAGUUGGUCUGUGACUCUUACAUAAGCAGGUCAGACCUCUGCGGCUCCCUCAGCCCCCCAGCUCCUCCCUGAAGUUUCCUGGUCAUUAUGCCAAAGCUGCCUCUGUCAAGGACACUUACCCUUCUCUCCACACUCAAAGACCCAAACACAAACUUUAUAAUUCUAUCUGCCAGUGCAGAGAGAGAGAGACAGAGAGACAGAGGGGGAGAGAGAGAGAGAGAGAGAGAGAGACAGAGAGAGACAGAGAGAGAGAGACAAAGACAGAGACAGAGACAGAGAGAGACAGAGAGAGAGCACGCACUGAGUCUUGGGAUGACUGCCAGGUGAUCCUGCCCAGCUUGAGGAAACUGGACCCCCUGCCCAGCCUGUAGACUGCUUGUUUCUAAAGCCUUCUAUGAAAAUAAAAACCACAAAGGCCCUAAGAGAUACUAAGUCCCUAUGGUGGUUUUAAUGAGAAUGGCCCCCAUAGGCUCAAAUGUUUAAAUACUUGGUCCCCAGUUAGUGGAACUGUUUGGGAA